AUUUAAACCUGGGUGCAGCGGCAGCCUCCGUUUUUUCUACGGAGCUAUAGCGAAACACGGGACUGACU
rnacentral:sRNA from 1 species